CCUACGGGGAGCAGCAGUGGGGAAUAUUGCACAAUGGGCGAAAGCCUGAUGCAGCAACGCCGCGUGAAGGAAGAAGGGUUUCGGCUCGUAAACUUCUAUCAACAGGGACGAAAGAAAUGACGGUACCUGAAUAAGAAGCCCCGGCUAACUACGUGCCAGCAGCCGCGGUAAUACGUAGGGGGCAAGCGUUAUCCGGAUUUACUCGGUGUAAAGGGAGCGUAGGCGGUUUAGCAAGUCAGAAGUGAAAGCCCGGGGCUCAACUCCGGGACUGCUUUUGAAACUGUUGAACUAGAUUGCAGGAGAGGUAAGUGGAAUUCCUAGUGUAGCGGUGAAAUGCGUAGAUAUUAGGAGGAACACCAGUGGCGAAGGCGGCUUACUGGACUGUAAAUGACGCUGAGGCUCGAAAGCGUGGGGAGCAAACAGGAUUAGAUACCCCAGUAGUC
rnacentral:rRNA from 1 species